AGAUAAUGAACUUGUUAAAGUGUAUAUUUUGAAAAUAUAAGAAAGGAAAUAGCCUUCCUAUUAUCUG
rnacentral:tRNA from 1 species